CUCAGCAUAAUUUAUGCUUCAGCCACCUGGUAAGGAUAAAUUAUUUCCCUCUGUCUAUCUCCUACGCUUGGGUUAAAAUCCUUAUCGAAUUCUUAACCCAAGCGUUGGAAAUUUCCAUCACGUUGUUUGGUUUUGUGCAUAGGUAGUGCAUCUAUGCAAAAAAGGGACGAAACCAAGAACAACGAUGGAAAUUUCCAUAGCGUCGGGUACGCAGGUAGAUUAGACAUAAGGGACCUUUGGUAUAAAUAAAGUGGAACGAGAGUUCCAGGGAGAUUAGUCUUAGUUUAAACUUAGAAGUUGUUUAACCUUCCAUCCGAAAUCAUCUACAAUUGGUGGCAGCGGUGGGAUGCGGUGAGAAUUUGCCACUUGUGGUAAAUUUCCUCACCGCAGACCCAGUUAAAAAAAAAUAUAAUAUUCGUCAAAAGUACUUUGAUGUGCAAAAAGUGCCUUCGUGAAGAAAAGUGUUCGACGAACGACGACGGUGGAUUCCUUUUCUUUCCCGUCGCGGUUGGUUUACCGAGUUUUUUCUGGCCGUUCAGAAAAAAAGUGCUAGUGUGUGCUAGAUUUCGUUCCGCUGUUACGUGUUUCGGGAAUCCGUGGGCUUGAGCCAGGAAUCUGUCCGCUAGGAGGAAGUGACCGGAUGCAUGUCCGGUUAGCAGCGAGCUGUCUGUGAAAAAAAACGAAGAGUAGUUAUGCUCUCGGCGUGAGACAUAUUGUUCGAUCGCAAAGUGACAGCGCAAUGAUGAUUACGACAACGAAGGCGAUAAUAUGAUGGUAGUGUGCGCAAUCUCGAUGUGAGCGCUGUGAAUGAAGAUUUUAAGGCCAAAAUAGAGAUCUUCCUCGGGGCUAUACAGAAGAGUGUUUCUAACUGGUCCAAAUCCGCUGACCAAAACAGAAACCAAGUGAAGUUCCAUUCGAGAGCCGUAAAGUGAAAGAAAAUUGUGAAAAUAUUUGGGCUACCCCGUCAUCAUCAUCGAUUGAUUGACCCCAAGUUCUUUUUGUAGUGUGUGGUGCUCCGAGGGAAAUUAUCCUCACCAAUGAUUUUUUCGACAUACAAGGUGAAACGCAAUAGCAACAUCAGCGACAACAACAACAGCAAGGGUCUAUGCCAAAGUGAAAAGUGGGUAAAAUUGUGAAUGAGGAAAAUUGUAAUUACAUACCAUCUAGGGAAAAAAAUAAGUUAAUACACAUCAACACAUCACCAAUAGUGCUAAGCAAUAAAA